rnacentral:rRNA from 1 species
AGUGAACGCUGGCGGUAGGCCUAACACAUGCAAGUCGAACGGCAGCACAGUAAGAGCUUGCUCUUACGGGUGGCGAGUGGCGGACGGGUGAGGAAUACAUCGGAAUCUACUUUUUCGUGGGGGAUAACGUAGGGAAACUUACGCUAAUACCGCAUACGACCUACGGGUGAAAGCAGGGGAUCUUCGGACCUUGCGCGAUUGAAUGAGCCGAUGUCGGAUUAGCUAGUUGGCGGGGUAAAGGCCCACCAAGGCGACGAUCCGUAGCUGGUCUGAGAGGAUGAUCAGCCACACUGGAACUGAGACACGGUCCAGACUCCUACGGGAGGCAGCAGUGGGGAAUAUUGGACAAUAGGCGCAAGCCUGGUCCAGCCAUACCGCGUGGGUGAAGAAGGCCUUCGGGUUGUAAAGCCCUUUUGUUGGGAAAGAAAAGCAGCAGGUUAAUACCCCGCUGUUCUGACGGUACCCAAAGAAUAAGCACCGGCUAACUUCGUG